rnacentral:rRNA from 1 species
UGCUACAAUGGGUAGUACAGAGGGUUGCCAAGCCGUAAGGUGGAGCUAAUCCCUUAAAGCUACUCUCAGUUCGGAUUGUAGGCUGAAACUCGCCUACAUGAAGCUGGAGUUACUAGUAAUCGCAGAUCAGAAUGCUGCGGUGAAUGCGUUCCCGGGUCUUGUACACACCGCCCGUCACCCCACGGGAGUUGGAGACGCCCGAAGCCGACUAUCUAACCUUUUGGAAGAAGUCGUCGAAGGUGGAAUCAAUAACUGGGGUGAAGUCGUAACAAGGUAGCCGUAUCGGAAGGUGCGGCUGGAUCACCUCCUUUCUAAGGAGA